rnacentral:rRNA from 1 species
AAAGCGUGCGCAGGCGGCUUUGCAAGACAGAUGUGAAAUCCCCGGGCUCAACCUGGGAACUGCAUUUGUGACUGCAAGGCUAGAGUACGGCAGAGGGGGAUGGAAUUCCACGUGUAGCAGUGAAAUGCGUAGAUAUGUGGAGGAACACCGAUGGCGAAGGCAGCCCCCUGGGUCAAAACUGACGCUCAUGCACGAAAGCGUGGGGAGCAAACAGGAUUAGAUACCCUGGU